GAUGAACGCUGGCGGCGUGCUUAACACAUGCAAGUCGAACGGAAAGGCUCCUGCUUGCAGGGGUACUCGAGUGGCGAACGGGUGAGUAACACGUGGGUGAACUGCCCUGCACUUCGGGAUAAGCCUGGGAAACUGGGUCUAAUACCGGAUAGGACCACAUUUUGGAUGGUGUGGUGGAAAGUUUUUCGGUGUGGGAUGAGCUCGCGGCCUAUCAGCUUGUUGGUGGGGUAAUGGCCUACCAAGGCGUCGACGGGUAGCCGGCCUGAGAGGGUGUACGGCCACAUUGGGACUGAGAUACGGCCCAGACUCCUACGGGAGGCAGCAGUGGGGAAUAUUGCACAAUGGGCGCAAGCCUGAUGCAGCGACGCCGCGUGGGGGAUGACGGCCUUCGGGUUGUAAACUCCUUUCGCUAGGGACGAAGCGCAAGUGACGGUGCCUGGAGAAGAAGCACCGGCUAACUACGUG
rnacentral:rRNA from 1 species